UACGGAGGGGGCGAGCGUUAUUCGGAAUUAUUGGGCGUAAAGGGCGCGUAGGCGGCCUUGUAAGUCAAAGGUGAAAUCCCUCGGCUCAACUGAGGAACUGCCUUUGAAACUGCAAGGCUUGAGGCCGGGAGGGGGUAGCGGAAUUCCCAAUGUAGCGGUGAAAUGCGUAGAUAUUGGGAGGAACACCAGUGGCGAAGGCGGGUUGCUGGGCUGAUACUGACGCUGAGGCGCGAAAGCUAGGGGAGCGAACGGG
rnacentral:rRNA from 1 species